ensembl:processed_transcript Tctn2 tectonic family member 2
UUGGCAAUAUGGCGUCGGCGGGUUGGCGAAGGCCGCCACUUUUUCUCUUCCAGGCUAUUCUGGGUUUCUGAGGCAGGCCGGCCCGGGUAUGGGCUCUCUGUCACCGCUCAGCCUCCUGUGGGGACUCCUCCUGCUGCAGGGCGUCCUGAGGCCGCUGCGCGGGGACCCAGGUGUGUAUGGUGAGGGUAUGGCCUGCAUGGCCCAGGCUGAGGGAAUCUGGCUCUUAAAGGGCCAGACCUGGGGUUCCUAGGAUCCCGGAAGCCAGGCCACAUAAAAAGCCAGCACACGCACCCCAGGUACAGGUUCUGUACCCGUUAACCCCUCCCCGCACAUCCUUCCUUCCCUCAGUUUUCAUCCCACCUUUCAUCCGGAUGUCCAGCCCUGAGGUCCAAGCGACCCUGGUCGGAGGCAGCGAGGAUGUCGCCGUGUCUCUGACUCUGCUGCAGGUCGAGGAAGGUAGGACUCUGGCUGUUCUUGGGAGCGUGGGUGCUGCCAACAGAAAUUCUGUUCCCAGCAGAAUACGAGUGGGGCCGGCUGUAGACCCUGUGGACCGGUUCUGGAUAAGAGAACUUGAAAUAAAAGUGACCAACAAGCCAGGCAUGAUAACACAUGCCUUUAAUCCCAAAAUUGAAGUGGAAAUUCGAAUAUGCAGCCAGCCUGGUUUGCAUAAUAAAACGUGUUUUGUCUUGUUUUUAAGGAAAAUAAAAGGCCAGCUAGCUCCCCUGAGAUUCCCACACAGCACCUCAGAGUUCUCCUAAGAACAGCAGUCUCUUUUUUUUUUUUUUUUUUUUGUCCCAUUUGACAAAUGAGACAUACUGUUUGACCAGUCUUAUGCAGCUUGUCUGGGGGAGAGGGAUUCCUACCCCAGGAUACUUGACUCACCGUAGCUACCGCACCCUGAUGCCUCAAAUUCUAAUUUCUUGCUUAGGAGUGUUGCCAGUUCCUACUUGUGGCGGCCGCCGCAAUGAGACAGAGGAUUGGAAUGUGACUGUGAGCCCCCGAGAGAGCACGCUGGAAGUGACCAUAAGGUGGAAGAGGGGUCUAGACUGGUGCUCCGCAGACGAGACAGCCUCAUUCUCAGAGCCCCCGUGUGUUCUGCAGAUGCUGCUAGUUUCAGCCUCCCACAAUGCAUCCUGCUUAGCACAUCUGCUCAUCCAGGUGGAGAUUUAUCCCAACACAUCUGUAACCCACAACGCAUCAGGCAAGUGAUGUCUACACUCAAAAUGUUUCUGUCAGCCACGAUCUGAAGGUUGUGUAGUGUAUGCAGUUUAUUAGAUGUGGCUCUGUUAUCAGGAUUUUUUUGUUUGUUUGUUUUUGGUUUGUGAGACAGGGUCUGGUCUAGAUCUCACUAUGUAGACCAGAUUGAACUCACAGAGCUGCCUUGCCUCUGGCUCCUGAGUUAAUUUUUUUGUUUUUAAUUUAUGUGUGUGGUGUGUGUGUGUGUGUGUGUGUGUGUGUGUGUGUGUGUGUGUGCUUGGGUGAAUGUACAAGCAUUAUGUUUGUGCAGGACCCAAAAAGGCCAGAAGAGGGCGACAGAUCCCCAUGCCUGGAAUUGCUUGUGUUUGAGUCACUUUAUGAGUAGUGUGUAUUGAACCCAGGUCCUCUGCAAGAACAGCAAACGCCCUUAUAACCACCGAGCCUUGUCUUCGGUCACCAGACUCAACUUUUGAGUCUCUCUUGCCUUCCUAAAUGUACUUUUUUGGGGAGGGGCGUGGUUAGGUUUUGUUUGUUUGUUUGUUUGUUUGUUUUUGAGCUUUUUACUCUGUAUUAUUUGAUUGAGUUAAGAUCUCAGUCAGGCAGUGGUGGUGCACAUUUUAAUCCCAGCAUUUCGGAGGUAGAGGAGGCAGGCCGAUCUCUCUGGGUUUGAGGCCAGCCUGAUCCACAUAGUGAGUUCCACGGCAGCCAGGGCUACAUAGUGAGAUUCUGUCUCAGACACCUCCCCACCUAAUUAUCUGGCUGUCCUGACACAUCUUUUGCAAAUCACCUUUUACAGUCCUUUUCUGGAGAAGGUAGAGUUGGUUUCCACACAUUGGUACCCAAGCAUGAGAAAAUCCAUGAACAAGAAUAGGUGUGGCCUGCGUUGCUCUGUUCUGACCCAGAGAGCAAGGCACAACUUUUCCUGUCUCUUCUCUCCUGCCAUUCAGGUGCCGGCCAGAGCCUUAGCGAGUACUCUCUGUUCCUUUCUCCUACAUUCUCUCUGACACUCCCCUCCCACCAUGUGGCUGCUUGUCCACCCUGUGCCUGACCUUCUGUGCGUCACUUAGAUGGCAUGGCUUUUUCUCCCACCUAUGAAUCUGUAAGAAACUCUCUAAAACUC